AUUGAACGCUGGCGGCAGGCCUAACACAUGCAAGUCGAGCGGUAGAGAGGUGCUUGCAUCUCUUGAGAGCGGCGGACGGGUGAGUAAUGCCUAGGAAUCUGCCUGGUGGUGGGGGAUAACGUUCGGAAACGGACGCUAAUACCGCAUACGUCCUACGGGAGAAAGCGGGGGAUCUUCGGACCUCGCGCCAUCAGAUGAGCCUAGGUCGGAUUAGCUAGUUGGUGAGGUAAUGGCUCACCAAGGCGACGAUCCGUAACUGGUCUGAGAGGAUGAUCAGUCACACUGGAACUGAGACACGGUCCAGACUCCUACGGGAGGCAGCAGUUGGGGAAUAUUGGACAAUGGGCGAAAGCCUGAUCCAGCCAUGCCGCGUGUGUGAAGAAGGUCUUCGGAUUGUAAAGCACUUUAAGUU
rnacentral:rRNA from 1 species